GUGGGGAAUAUUGGACAAUGGGCGGAAGCCCGAUCCAGCAACGCCGCGUGAGGGAUGACGGCCUUCGGGUUGUAAACCUCUUUCGGUACCGACGAAGCGAGAGUGACGGUAGGUACUAAAGAAGCACCGGCCAACUACGUGCCAGCAGCCGCGGUAAUACGUAGGGUGCGAGCGUUGUCCGGAAUUAUUGGGCGUAAAGGGCUCGUAGGCGGUUUGUCACGUCGGGAGUGAAAACCAGGUGCUUAACACCUGGCCUGCUUCCGAGACGGGCAGACUGGAGGUAUGCAGGGGAGAACAGAAUUCCUGGUGUAGCGGUGAAAUGCGCAGAUAUCAGGAGGAACACCGGUGGCGAAGGCGGUUCUCUGGGCAUUACCUGACGCUGAGGAGCGAAAGUGUGGGGAGCGAACAGGAUUAGAUACCCUUGUAGUCC
rnacentral:rRNA from 1 species